rnacentral:rRNA from 1 species
CCCUUAGAUGUUCGGGGCCGCACGCGCGCUACACUGAAGGAAUCAGCACGUCUUUCUCCUUGUCCGAAAGGACUGGGUAACCCGCUGAACCUCCUUCGUGCUAGGGAUUGGGGCUUGUAAUUCUUCCCCAUGAACGAGGAAUUCCCAGUAAGCGCGAGUCAUAAGCUCGCGUUGAUUACAUCCCUGCCCUUUGUACACACCGCCCGUCGCUACUACCGAUUGGAUGGUUUAGUGAGAUCCUCGGAUUGGUCCCGGCGCGGCCUCUGGUCGUGCCGGAGUGCCGAAAAGAAUGUCGAACUUGAUCAUCUAGAGGAAGUAAAAGUCGUAACA